CCUACACCUUCACCUUCACCUUCACCUUCUGCCUCAUCAUCAUCAGGCAAAUCCAGGGUGAGCAGGAAAUCCUUUCAAGCUGGACCAAACUAUCCACAUCCAGCCAAAGAUGAUGAGAUGCCAUUGGCGGGCGAAGUGUCUGAAAAAUGUCAAAGUAAAAAAGGUUCAUCACAAGCCAAGAGAAAAAAGUGGUCAGACGAGGAAAUCCAGGCUGUUGAGGAGACGCUCAUGGACUGCAUCAUGAGAAGAAAGGUUCCUGGUAAAGCCCAGUGUCUGCAGUGUAUAAAUACUUCACCCACAGCCCUUCAAGACAGGAGUUGGGAGGCAGUUAAGUUCUAUGUGAAAAAUCGCAUUGAUGCUGAAAAGCGGGAAUCCCUG